rnacentral:rRNA from 1 species
UACGUAGGGUGCAAGCGUUAAUCGGAAUUACUGGGCGUAAAGCGUGCGCAGGCGGUUUGGUAAGACAGAUGUGAAAUCCCUGGGCUCAACCUAGGAAUUGCAUUUGUGACUGCCCGGCUAGAGUGUGUCAGAGGGGGGUAGAAUUCCACGUGUAGCAGUGAAAUGCGUAGAGAUGUGGAGGAAUACCGAUGGCGAAGGCAGCCCCCUGGGAUGAUACUGACGCUCAUGCACGAAAGCGUGGGGAGCAAACAGG